GCAAGUUCGAGCGGCAGCGGNCAAAGAUAGCUUGCUACUUUUGCCGGCGUAGCGGCGGACGGGNUGAGAUAAUGCCUGGGGAUCUGCCCAGUUCGAGGGGGAUAACANAUUGGAAACGACUGCUAAUACCGCAUACGCCCUACGGGGGAAAGGAGGGGACCUUCGGGCCUUUCGCGAUUGGAUGAACCCAGGUGNGAUUAGCUAGUUGGUGGGGUAAUGGCUCACCAAGGCGACGAUCCCUAGCUGGUCUGAGAGGAUGAUCAGCCACACUGNAACUGAGACACGGUCCAGACUCCUACGGGAGGCAGCAGUGGGGAAUAUUGCACAAUGGGGGAAACCCUGAUGCAGCCAUGCCGCGUGUGUGAAGAAGGCCUUCGGGUUGUAAAGCACUUUCAGCGAGGAGGAAAGGUUGGCGCCUAAUACGUGUCAACUGUGACGUUACUCGCAGAAGAAGCACCGGCUAACUCCGUGCCAGCAGCCGCGGUAAUACGGAGGGUGCAAGCGUUAAUCGGAAUUACUGGGCGUAAAGCGCACGCAGGCGGUUGGAUAAGUUAGAUGUGAAAGCCCCGGGCUCAACCUGGGAAUUGCAUUUAAAACUGUCCAGCUAGAGUCUUGUAGAGGGGGGUAGAAUUCCAGGUGUAGCGGUGAAAUGCGUAGAGAUCUGGAGGAAUACCGGUGGCGAAGGCGGCCCCCUGGACAAAGACUGACGCUCAGGUGCGAAAGCGUGGGGAGCAAACAGGAUUANAUACCCUGGUAGUCCACGCCGUAAACGAUGUCGAUUUGNAGCUGUGUCCUUGANACGUGGCUUCGGAACUAACGCGUUAAUCGACCGCNUGGGGAGUACGGCCGCAAGUUAAACUCAAUGAAUUGACGGGGCCCNCACA
rnacentral:rRNA from 1 species